UCGGAUUGUAGGCUGCAACUCGCCUACAUGAAGUUGGAAUCGCUAGUAAUCGCGAAUCAGAAUGUCGCGGUGAAUACGUUCCCGGGUCUUGUACACACCGCCCGUCACACCACGAGAGUUUACAACACCCGAAGUCAGUGGCCUAACCGCAAGGAGGGAGCUGCCUAAGGUGGGGUAGAUGAUUGGGGUGAAGUCGUAACAAGGUAUC
rnacentral:rRNA from 1 species